rnacentral:rRNA from 1 species
UUAUUGGGCGUAAAGAGCGCGUAGGCGGUCUGUUAAGUCUGAUGUGAAAGCCCCCGGCUCAACCGGGGAGGGUCAUUGGAAACUGGCAGACUUGAGUGCAGAAGAGGAGAGUGGAAUUCCUGUUGUAGCACAGAAAUGCGCAGAGAUAUGGGAGAAACCGAUGCGAAGGCGGGUCUCUGGUCUGUAACUGACGCUGAGGUGCGAAGCGUGGGGAUCGACAGGAUUAGAUACC